rnacentral:rRNA from 1 species
CUGGCUCAGGAUGAACGCUAGCGACAGGCUUAACACAUGCAAGUCGAGGGGCAGCAUAGAAGUAGCAAUACGUUGGUGGCGACCGGCGCACGGGUGAGUAACGCGUAUGCAACCUACCUAUCAGGAGGGGAAUAACCCGGCGAAAGUCGGACUAAUACCGCAUAAAACAGGGGCACCGCAUGGUGAUAUUUGUUAAAGAAAUUCGCUGAUAGAUGGGCAUGCGUUCCAUUAGGUAGUUGGUGAGGUAACGGCUCACCAAGCCGACGAUGGAUAGGGAACUGAGAGGUUGGUCCCCCACACUGGUACUGAGACACGGACCAGACUCCUACGGGAGGCAGCAGUGAGGGAAUAUUGGUCAAUGGGGCGGGAGCCUGAACCAGCCAAGUCGCGUGAAGGAAGAAGGAUCUAUGGUUCGUAAACUUCUUUUGCAGGGGAAUAAAGUGCAGGACGUGUCCUGUUUUGUAUGUACCCUGAGAAUAAGGAUCGGCUAACUCCGUGCCAGCCGCGGC